CCCUGAUGCACAAGGUACUUUAAUAAACUUUUUAAAUUUUAAAAUUUAAAAAUAAAUAUAAAUUUCCUUUUCAGUAAAUUAAUCAAAAAAACUAUUCUAAUUAUUAUACAUAUUGUUUAUUACUUUAAUAAAUUUUCCUUUUUAUUAAAAGUUAUUUUAUAAAAUAU
rnacentral:rRNA from 1 species